GACAAAAAAAAACACAAAACUAAUUAUUGAUCAAAUAGUAAAAUUUGCACUUUCACAACAAACCCGCAAGACGGCUCAUAGCGGCUAAUUUUAUCAUUAUUGCUAUAUACUAGGCGUCAUGCAAUGAGCAAUUAAUGAGCAUUUAAGCAAGCGAGUAAUUUUCAAACAUUAAUUAGACAAGAUUAAGCGAUUGAUCAAUAACAAUAAUUUUAUUUUUUGUUUUAGUUGAGAUCUAAUGAAAUUAUUAAAACGAACUCUCAAACAAUCACAAUCCUAUAAACAUGCUUUUUACCACAAAUUACAAUAAAAUAAAUAAGCAAAUAGCACAUAAACCCCUCCCCCUUGGAUGAUUCCCAAGUAAUUCAUAUAUAGGAGAGUUUAGAGUUAUACAAAUAUUACAAACUGAAAUAAAUAAUAAAUACGAAUUCGAAAUACAAAAAAUUAAAUAAACUUGUCUCAUGGCAACUCUUCAACUUGAACUUCAAGUUCAAAACCUGUUUAACAUAAUAACACCCAACACGAGAUCAUAGCAUAAUAAUAACUAAUAGAUAGAAGACAUAAGAGCUAUUUACAACAAACACACGAAUUUCACCAAGUCAUGUAAAAUCACACAUCGAAAUAAGGGAUAAGGAAACUAAUUGAAUGCUUUCUUCUAUUUAUUUCGACCAAACAAUGCAAAAGAAAAUAAGAUUAAACUAAUGAAAGGAACUAACCAGUUAUGCAGAAUUAUUUAUCAGCAAUGAAGACCCAGUUUGAUCCUAUACUAGACCCGAACACAGCAAAAUCGAGUAAAGCAGCACUUAGAAUAUUCACCAGAAUCUUUCUUGUAAGUAGCGAGUAAUAUUUUUUAAAGUAUUCCACUAUAUCAAUGUGAGAGCAAUGUGUGAAUAUGCAGAGGUGCCCGGAUGAUCCAUUCUAGUAAUGAAGGGGGGUCCUAUUUAUAUAGUAGAAGAGGGACAUGACAAUAAGGAAAGGAGAGUAAAUUUUGUUCAGUUAACACAUUUUCCUUAUUUUGCGUUGAAUCAGUAAUAUUUUAUUAAGCUUCAUUCAAAACUUAACUAAAAUAAACGAGUAAGAAUCCCCCUUGAUUUAAUAAGGGCAACUAAUAAAUUAAUAAAUAUCCACAACGGCUAGUAUUACUAGUACUAUAAUAAUUUUACCAUGAUUAGAAAGGUAAAAGAUCUGUCACAACAUGCAUAAGGCAAAGAGAUCAAUUUAAGGUAACAUACAAACCAAUAUUAUAAAAAUGCACCAAAUCCUUAAGGAAAGGAAUAAUUUAAGAUCAAUUAUAUUCCUCAUUCACCAAAUCAGUAAAUUAUUUUAAGUUAUUUUUUCUCAGUCAAAUAUAAUUUUACUAAAAUAUAACAAGUAAGAAUCAACUAAACUCCAAUUACGCCAAUUAUGAUCAAUUAGCAUUACUAAAUAAAAUAAUAAAGAAAAUAUAGCUUACCAUGAAAUCUAUCCGGAUUAGAACAAUACCAUAAAAAUCACCUCAGUAUCAAUUAAUCAAUAUUAGGCAAGGAUAAAAUAAUUAUAUUAAAGGAAGAAAACACAAUUCAAGGAGUAUUUUAUAAUAUAUUCACAACAAGGAAAAUAGUAAUCUGUCAAGGAUCAAUCUAAACUCAAGUAGCAAACCCAAUAUUCAAUUUAACAUACAAAAUUAUUACCACUACAUGCAUCAAUUAAAGGGAUUAAAUGACGUUACAGGAGAUAAUAAAAAAAAGGCAUCUCAAGAAUCAGUGAUUUCAUAACCAACUUAUCAAUUUUAACUAAGAGAUCAACAGUCCAGGUAAAUGUUACAAAUACAAGGGCGAACUUCCACACAAUAAGCUAAGCAAACAAGAACAACAACCACAUGAAGGAGACUAUACUUCCACUUUCUAUCACACAUAAACAAUCUGAAAGUUUUACCUAGCAGUUCACCUUUAGGACUAAAAAUAACUUCUACACCAAACAUACUUAGAACUUUCAUCACAUUACAAAUAAGAAGAAGAAUAAAAUUGCAAAGAUGAGAUAACGAAUUAAAGAAAUGUACCUGGACGGAUCUGUUAAAGAUCCGUCUUUUGACUGGCUUGAAACUUUCAAAAGCACCGCCGGAGUUCGCCUUGUUCACUGGUUCGGAGCUGCUGUCCGGAAAUAAG
rnacentral:lncRNA from 1 species